rnacentral:sRNA from 1 species
UGGCGCCGCCGCGGCAGCUCGAGUCCACCAGCAGCGCCGUCCGCUUGACCGAGAUGCUGCGGGCCUGUCAGUUAUCGGGUGUGACCGCCGCCGCCCAGAGUUGUCUCUGUGGGAAGUUUGUCCUCCGUCCAUUGCGACCAUGCCGCAGAUACUCUACUUCAGGCAGCUCUGGGUUGACUACUGGCAAAAUUGCUGGAGCUGGCCUUUUGUUUGUUGGUGGAGGUAUUGGUGGCACUAUCCUAUAUGCCAAAUGGGAUUCCCAUUUCCGGGAAAGUGUAGAGAAAACCAUACCUUACUCAGACAAACUCUUCGAGAUGGUUCUUGGUCCUGCAGCUUAUAAUGUUCCAUUGCCAAAGAAAUCGAUUCAGUCGGGUCCACUAAAAAUCUCUAGUGUAUCAGAAGUAAUGAAAGAAUCUAAACAGCCUGCCUCACAACUCCAAAAACAAAAGGGAGAUACUCCAGCUUCAGCAACAGCACCUACAGAAGCGGCUCAAAUUAUUUCUGCAGCAGGUGAUACCCUGUCGGUCCCAGCCCCUGCAGUUCAGCCUGAGGAAUCUUUAAAAACUGAUCACCCUGAAAUUGGUGAAGGAAAACCCACACCUGCGCUUUCAGAAGAAGCAUCCUCAUCUUCUAUAAGGGAGCGACCACCUGAAGAAGUUGCAGCUCGCCUUGCACAACAGGAAAAACAAGAACAAGUUAAAAUUGAGUCUCUAGCCAAGAGCUUAGAAGAUGCUCUGAGGCAAACUGCAAGUGUCACUCUGCAGGCUAUUGCAGCUCAGAAUGCUGCGGUCCAGGCUGUCAAUGCACACUCCAACAUAUUGAAAGCCGCCAUGGACAAUUCUGAGAUUGCAGGCGAGAAGAAAUCUGCUCAGUGGCGCACAGUGGAGGGUGCAUUGAAGGAACGCAGAAAGGCAGUAGAUGAAGCUGCCGAUGCCCUUCUCAAAGCCAAAGAAGAGUUAGAGAAGAUGAAAAGUGUGAUUGAAAAUGCAAAGAAAAAAGAGGUUGCUGGGGCCAAGCCUCAUAUAACUGCUGCAGAGGGUAAACUUCACAACAUGAUAGUUGAUCUGGAUAAUGUGGUCAAAAAGGUCCAAGCAGCUCAGUCUGAGGCUAAGGUUGUAUCUCAGUAUCAUGAGCUGGUGGUCCAAGCUCGGGAUGACUUUAAACGAGAGCUGGACAGUAUUACUCCAGAAGUCCUUCCUGGGUGGAAAGGAAUGAGUGAGUACAACUGAAGUAAUGUUUUUUUUUGAUGUUUUAACCACUAAUCAAUGAAUCUAAACUUGCUUCAUCUCCAUUGUAGUCCACAUCCCUCUGGCAUGCAUGCAUAUCUCUUUUUGUAAGAGCAUUUUAUUUUAACCACAGUCAUUACAGAUGACACAGCCGCAACAAUACUCUUGUAGUUUUAGCUGUGGUGAACAUGAGUUCCAGCUAGU